rnacentral:rRNA from 1 species
CCCCUAGUAACGGCGAGUGAAGCGGGAAGAGCUCAAAUUUGAAAUCUGGCGGUCUAAGGCCGUCCGAGUUGUAAUCUAGAGAGGUGUUUUCCGUGCCGGACCGUGUACAAGUCCCUUGGAACAGGGCGUCAUAGAGGGUGAGAAUCCCGUCCAUGACACGGACUCCCGGUGCUCUGCGAUACACCUUCGAAGAGUCGAGUUGUUUGGGAAUGCAGCUCAAAAUGGGUGGUAAAUUCCAUCUAAAGCUAAAUACAGGCGAGAGACCGAUAGCGAACAAGUACCGUGAGGGAAAGAUGAAAAGAACUUUGGAAAGAGAGUUAAACAGUACGUGAAAUUGUUGAAAGGGAAACGCUUGAAGUCAGUCGCGUCCGCCGGGACUCAGCCUUGCUUUUGCUUGGUGCACUUCCUGGUGGAUGGGCCAGCAUCGAUUUUGAUCGCCGGAGAAAGGCGGGAGGAAUGUGGCAGCUUGCUGUGUUAUAGCCUCUCGUCAUACACGGUGUUUGGGAUCGAGGACUGCAGCACGCCUUUGGUCGGGGUUCGCCCACGCCACGUGCUUAGGAUGCUGGCGUAAUGGCUUUAAACGACCCGUCUUGAAACACGGACCAAGGAGUCUAACAUGCCUGCGAGUGUUUGGGUGUUAAACCCAUGCGCGUAAUGAAAGUGAAAAGUUGGGACUCUUUAGUGAGGCACCGACGCCCGAUCCUGACGUUCUCCGACGGAUUUGAGGCAGAGCAUGUAUGUUGGGACCCGAAAGAUGGUGAACUAUGCCUGAAUAGGGUGAAGCCAGAGGAAACUCUGGUGGAGGCUCGUAGCGAUUCUGACGUGCAAAUCGAUCGUCAAAUUUGGG